CUGAACACCAUGUGGAAGCUGCUAAGGCUUAUGGCUUACAUUCUUUGAGGCAGUGACCUGACAUGUAACUGGAUCCCGUUUAGCCAUGGUUGAAGUUGGAUACUCCUUGCUCCUCAGAUUGCAGACGGCCUAUUGUGGGACCUUGUGAUCAUCAAGGCAAGAAGGCCUGACACGUUCAAUGUGCUCUAACCUCCUGCCAAGUAGUGUGCAAGGUUCAAGAGAUGGAAAAUUGGAAGCGAAAGUCCUUGGAGAAGCUCUCAUUCAACUGAAAGCAAAUAUGGUGUUUAAGUAGUCUAUGCAUGAAGAGAGUGACUUUAUUGGAAAGAAGAUGAUGCCUCUCUAUUUUAGCUCCAUCCCAGUUUUAGGGGAGUGAGGCUCCAACUACUUAGA
rnacentral:lncRNA from 1 species